rnacentral:rRNA from 1 species
CCCAAUCCAUCUGCAGUCGAACGCUUCUUUCUCCCGAGUGCUUGCACUCAAUUGGAAAGAGGAGUGGCGGACGGGUGAGUAACACGUGGNUAACCUACCCAUCUGAGGGGGAUACACUUGGAAACAGGUGCUAAUACGGCGUAACGGGGUGG